GUCGGGAUACUGUCCGGUGAAGAUCGUCGGGCGGCUGGGCACGCA
rfam:Mycobacterium sp. 1100029.7 contig_63, whole genome shotgun sequence.